rnacentral:rRNA from 1 species
CCUACGGGGGGCAGCAGUGGGGAAUAUUGCACAAUGGGGGAAACCCUGAUGCAGCGACGCCGCGUGAGUGAAGAAGUAUUUCGGUACGUAAAGCUCUAUCAGCAGGGAAGAAAAUGACGGUACCUGACUAAGAAGCCCCGGCUAACUACGUGCCAGCAGCCGCGGUAAUACGUAGGGGGCAAGCGUUAUCCGGAUUUACUGGGUGUAAAGGGAGCGUAGACGGCAGCGCAGGUCUGGAGUGAAAUCCCAUGGCUUAACCAUGGAACUGCUUUGGAAACUGUGCAGCUAGAGUGCAGGAGAGGUAAGCGGAAUGCCUAGGGUAGCGGUGAAAUGCGUAGAUAUUAGGAGGAACACCAGUGGCGAAGGCGGCUUACUGGACUGUAACUGACGUUGAGGCUCGAAAGCGUGGGGAGCAAACAGGAUUAGAUACCCGAGUAGUC